rnacentral:rRNA from 1 species
UACGGAAGGGGCAAGCGUUGUUCGGAAUCAUUGGCGUAAAGGGCGCGUAGGUGGUUCUGUAUGUCUACCGUGAAAGCGUACGGCUCAACCGUAUUUUGUCGGUGGAAACUGCAGGACUUGAGGCUGGGAGGGGCUGGUGGAAUUCCCUGUGUAGCGGUGAAAUGCGUAGAGAUGGGGGAGAACACUCGUGGCGAAGGCGGCCAGCUAGACCAGUUCUGACACUGAGGCGCGACAGCGUGGGGAGCAAACAGG